rnacentral:tRNA from 1 species
GGAGGGGUGCCCGAGUGGUUAAAGGGGGCUGACUGUAAAUCAGCUGGCUAGGCCUACGGCGGUUCGAAUCCGUCCCCCUCCA